AUACGUAGGGGGCAAGCGUUAUCCGGAUUUAUUGGGUGUAAAGGGUGCGUAGGCGGGUGAUCAAGUUGAAUGUGAAAUCCACCGGCUCAACUGGUGGGCUGCGUUCAAAACUGAUCGUCUUGAGUAUGGUAGAGGCAAGUGGAAUUCCCAGUGUAGCGGUAAAAUGCGUAGAGAUUGGGAGGAACACCAGUGGCGAAGGCGACUUGCUGGGCCAAAACUGACGCUGAGGCACGAAAGUGUGGGGAGCAAACAGGAUUAGAUACCCUGGUAGUCCACACCGUAAACGAUGAUUACUAGGUGUAGGGGGACUGACCCCUUCUGUGCCGGAGUUAACACAAUAAGUAAUCCACCUGAGUAGUACGGCCGCAAGGUUGA
rnacentral:rRNA from 1 species